rnacentral:lncRNA from 1 species
AAUAGUUAGAGAGAACAGAAAAACACUCUAUGUUUAGACUGCUCAGUAGUAAAGCUACCAACUCUAGCAGAGAAAUAAGAUAUGUUCCAGGUCGACAGGACUGAUCCGGGAGCAAGUAGACAUGGAAGAUGUGUUUGACUGAUCCGGGAGCAAGUAGACAUGGAAGAUGUGUUUGACUGAUCCGGAAGCAAGUAGACAUGGCAGAUGUGUUUGACUGAUCCGGGAGCAAGUAGACAUGGAAGAUGUGUUUGACUGAUCCGGGAGCAAGUAGACAUGGAAGAUGUGUUUGACUGAUCCGGGAGCAAGUAGACAUGGAAGAUGUGUUUGACUGAUCCGGGAGCAAGUAGACAUGGAAGAUGUGUUUGACUGAUCCGGGAGCAAGUAGACAUGGAAGAUGUGUUUGACUGAUCAGGGAGCAAGUAGACAUGGAAGAUGUGUUUGACUGAUCCGGGAGCAAGUAGACAUGGAAGAUGUGUUUGACUGAUCCGGGAUCAAGUAGACAUGGAAGAUGUGUUUGACUGAUCCGGGAGCAAGUAGACAUGGAAGAUGUGUUUGACUGAUCCGGGAGCAAGUAGACAUGGAAGAUGUGUUUGACUGACCGGGAGCAAGUAGACAUGGAAGAUGUGUUUGACUGAUCCGGGAGCAAGUAGACAUGGAAGGUGUGUUUGACUGAUCCGGGAGCAAGUAGACAUGGAAGAUGUGUUUGACUGAUCCGGGAGCAAGUAGACAUGGAAGAUGUGUUUGACUGAUCCGGGAGCAAGUAGACAUGGAAGAUGUGUUUGACUGAUCCGGGAGCAAGUAGACAUGGAAGAUGUGUUUGACUGAUCCGGGAGAAAGUAGACAUGGAAGAUGUGUUUGACUGAUCCGGGAGCAAGUAGACAUGGAAGAUGUGUUUCACUGAUCCGGGAGCAAGUAGACAUGGAAGAUGUGUUUGACUGAUCCGGGAGCAAGUAGACAUGGAAGAUGUGUUUGACUGAUCCGGGAGCAAGUAGACAUGGAAGAUGUGUUUGACUGAUCCGGGAGCAAGUAGACAUGGAAGAUGUGUUUGACUGAUCCGGGAGCAAGUAGACAUGGAAGCUGUGUUUGACUGAUCCGGGAGCAAGUAGACAUGGAAGAUGUUUUUGACUGAUCUGGGAGCAAGUAGACAUGGAGCAAGUAGACACUUAGUCUGCAUCCCAGAUGGCACCCAUUCCCUAAUAGAGCCCUAUCUGCCCUGGUCAAAAGUAGUGCACUAUAUAGGGAAUAUGGUGCCAUGUGGGACGCAGAUUACACAACAGUACAGUGAGG